CACCUCCAUCUCCUCCCAGCCGCCAUCAUGAUCAUCUACCAGGACCUCAUCAGCCAUGAUGAGGUGUUCUCCGAUAUCCACAAGAUCCAGGAGAUUGAAGACGGGCUGUGCCAGGAGGUAGAGGGGAAGAUGGUCAGUAGGACAGAGGGUAACAUUGAUGACUCGCUUAUUUGGUAGAAAUGCUUCCACUGAAGGCCCUGGGGGCGAAGGUACCGAAAGCACAAUAAUCACUGGUGUUGACAUUGUCAUGAACCAUCACUUGCAGGAAACGAGCUUCACAAAAGAAACCGACAAGAAGUACAUCAAAGAUUACAUGAAAUCAAUCAAAGGGAAGCUUGAAGAACAGAGACCAGAAAGAGUAAAGCCUUUUAUGACAGGGGCUGCAGAACAAAUCAAGCACAUCCUUGCCAAUUUCAAAAACUACCAGUUCUUUAUUGGUGAAAACAUGAAUCCAGAUGGCAUGGUUGCUCUGCAGGACUACCAUGAGGAUGGUGUGACCCCAUAUAUGAUUUUCUUUAAGGAUGGUUUAGAAAUGGAGUUGUCCAACAUUUGGCCAAAAUGGUUGGGCUUUUAUGCCUGUGUAGCCAACAGCCACUGGAAGUGA